CCGCGCUGCAGUGCGCAGGCGCCAACGCUUCUCCUCAGCCUGGGCCUCGCCGAAGGCUUGCGGUCCAGGGCCGCCGCGAGGACUUCCAGAACCUACUUGCGAGCCUCCGUCGGGAAGACCUUCGGCGCCGCCUGCCAGGACCGUGGAGGUUUUGGGAUCGAAGACGAUUGCACCGAUUCUUCCGGGGUUCCGCACCGUGGAGGGCCGCGGAGGAGGUGGCCCCUGCGUGACCUGCGUGACCUUGCGCGGCCCUCCUGGCUCCGCACGGAUGCGCGGCUUUGAGGUUCGGGGGUGCGAAAGGAAGGAACAGCCGAACAGCCGAGGAGCUGUCGCGCCCCAGCAAACCAGCACGUUACCCCAGGAACUUAGAGUUUGCAGUUUCUGCAACGCCUUCCGGUUGUAGUGCGUCACUGCAGAUUUUGUGAUUUAAUGUUUUCCAUAAGGUCCUACGCAAUUCCUGAGUCUAAGAGCAUGCUCACAUCCCACAGUUCUGUAUCCAGAAAAGGAUAUUACAAAUUGGAUCUGCACUAAAGGUUUGGAAGAAGACAGGAAAUGGACGGAUUAUACCAGAAGUGAGUUCACCUUCCAGCUCUGCUCUCGAUGUUUUCUAGUCUUUUCAGUCAAGUCUAACACAUUGGAGAAGACAGUAAGUUCAAAUGAUUUCCCCUUGAACGCAGCAUCAAUCCUCUAAUCCUGGAUUCUCCUCUUGUAGGGAUUACUUCAUGAAGUCAAAUCAUUUCAAAAAAUUCAUCUCCCAUUUGAUUCUUCAUAGUCAUUAUCAUAAGUUUCAGAGAGUAACAACAAGAUAUUACAAGAUGUAAUAUAACUAGUGACUGUGUCCACAGCACUAUGAGAGGCACGGGGAGGAAGUGUGAUCUUCCAUACACUCAUUUCAUUUGAAAGACUCCUAUGAGUUUUAUUGUUUUAGCAUUUUAUACAGAGAGCGAGCACCAGCAUACUCAGGAGAACUGCUAAAAGUAAAAGGCCUCAAGCUACCCACUGCCUGGCUGAUAGGAUAAAGCAGAGGGGAGUCCUGCAUGUCAGAAGCACACGCGUCCAGGCCCUUCCCGCAGCCGGUCGGCUAGCCCACUUACAUGUGCGGCUGCGGCGAGCAGCCCGGACUGCUGUUCCCGUUGCUGUCGAUGUGGUCCAGCGAGCCAUUGAGGUCUUCGUGGACGGCCUGAAGCAGGCCGCUGGAGGCGUUAUUGAUCAGUCCCGGGUUACUAAGCAAAGGUUCGGAUCACAAUGUGGACGUCUUAGAAGCGUUUAAAGAAAAUGUACAGGAAGGAUGCCUAGCUGGCAACUUGUGGCGGAGAUAUCAAGAAAAUUAAGUGUGAUGCGAAAGUGUAAACACAAGCUCCGCCAACAAACUUUUUUUUUUCCCUCGUGUUUCAGCCUUUUGCAGAAGGAACUGCGGUAUUCUCACAUGUAGUGAAAAGCCCCAACACAGAAGCAGUCGCUCUGCCUUUUAAAAAAUGACCAGGACUUAGCUCAAAAUAAAGAAGUCCUGACAUUUGCCUCCUCUGCAUAAAAAUUAUAUAUUAUAAUUAAACUUUAAAGUUUUUGCCACAAGCACCAUGUUCCCCAACACUAUGAUGUGAAAUCAUUUAUGACAGCCUGGAUAAAUAUUAAUGCAUAGCCACAUGCAUUUGCAAAAGCUUCUAUCAAUCUAGCAUUUGCAGGAAAACCGAGUGUUCCAGAUUUUGCCACAGGGUGUCCUUCUUGCUUCUUCACAUCAAAAGUAGCUUGAAUUAGAACCAGUGCUUUCUACAGUACUAGGUACUACAACUUACUUGGAUGAUAAACCAACUCUUAAGAACAAUCAUAAUCCCAUCGAAAUACAAAGCAUGCAGAACAAAACAACAACAAAAAGGCAAAACAUUCAAACACAAGGACAGCGGCAAGGUGCCUUUAUUGACAUUACCUGCAAACUGGCAUUGAGAGCUGCUCCAUAGCCUAAACUGGUAGGUAUAUUUUUUACUAAGGUUGGGCUUCUGGAAGAAAAAAAUAUAAAGACCAUCUAUAAGUCAAAAUAGAAAAUAUGUGGAUCUCACAAAUCCUAGCUACAAAGAUAGGUUCCAGACUGCUGUCCCACACUGCUAUGCCAGAGCGAAUGUAUCUAAGGCCACAGAAAUGAGGCGAUAGAUUUCAAAUAUGUAACUCUCUACGUAUUAUAUAGCAACCUGGUCCAGAAAGGCACAAACUUUAGACUAAGAUGUACAGGCAAAGUGGGGCAUGACCUUGAGCAUCCCCUAACCCUGUUUCUGGCUAUGUGAAGGUUUUAUUUCCAAGAAGAACAACAUUCAUAUAAAAUUUUAAAAAUGUAAAUAUACAACACAAUUACCAAUUUGAUGCAAUCAGGAAAUAAUUAAUAGUUAAUUUCAAGAACACCACGAAUUAACAUAACAAAUUACCAUAGUUAAUUAAAUGACAACAUAAUGGAUUAACUAUUUCUUGAAUGUAGAAAAUAGCGCAUCCUUGACUACAGAAAUCAAAAGUGAAGGACCCAUAGUAGGUAAAAUGCAUUA